GACGAACCGUGCGAACGUUGUUCGGAAUCACUGGGCUUAAAGGGCGCGUAGGCGGAUCAUCAAGUCAGGGGUGAAAUCCCACGGCUCAACCGUGGAAGUGCCUCUGAUACUGGUGGUCUGGAGUGGGGUAGGGGCAUGCGGAACUGGUGGUGGAGCGGUGAAAUGCGUAGAUAUCACUAGGAACGCCGGUGGCGAAAGCGGCGUGCUGGACCCCAACUGACGCUGAGGCGCGAAAGCCAGGGGAGCAAACAGG
rnacentral:rRNA from 1 species